rnacentral:rRNA from 1 species
GUUUGAUCCUGGCUCAGAAUCAACGCUGGCGGCGUGCCUAACACAUGCAAGUCGCACGAGAAAGGGGAGCAAUCCCUGAGUAAAGUGGCGCACGGGUGAGUAACACGUGAAUGAUCUACCUCCGAGUGGGGAAUAACUGAGAGAAAUCUUAGCUAAUACCGCAUAACACUUACGAGUCAAAGCAGCAAUGCGCUUGGAGAGGAGUUCGCGGCCGAUUAGUUAGUUGGCGGGGUAAUGGCCCACCAAGACGAUGAUCGGUAUCCGGCCUGAGAGGGCGCACGGACACACUGGAACUGAAACACGGUCCAGACUCCUACGGGAGGCAGCAGUGGGGAAUUUUGCGCAAUGGGGGAAACCCUGACGCAGCAACGCCGCGUGGAGGAUGAAGUAUCUUGGUACGUAAA